GAUGAACGCUGGCGGCGUGCCUAAUACAUGCAAGUCGAGCGAACAGACGAGGAGCUUGCUCCUCUGACGUUAGCGGCGGCCGGAUGAGUAACACGUGGAUAACCUACCUAUAAGACUGGGAUAACUUCGGGACACCGGAGCUAAUACCGGAUAAUAUAUUGAAACGCACGGUUCAAUCGUGAAAGACGGUUUUGCUGUCACUUAUAGAUGGAUCCGCGCCGCAUUAGCUAGUUGGUAAGGUAACGGCUGACCAAGGCGACGAUGCGUAGCCGGCCUGAGAGGGUGAUCGGCCACACUGGAACUGAGACACGGUCCAGACUCCUACGGGAGGCAGCAGUAGGGAAUCUUCCGCAAUGGGCGAAAGCCUGACGGAGCAACGCCGCGUGAGUGAUGAAGGUCUUCGGAUCGUAAAACUCUGUUAUUAGGGAAGAAACAAUGUGUAAGUAACUAUGCAGGUCUUGACGGUACCUAAUCAGAAAGCCACGGCUAACUACGUG
rnacentral:rRNA from 1 species